rnacentral:rRNA from 1 species
AGUGAACGCUGGCGGCGUGCUUAACACAUGCAAGUCGAACGAGAACGGAUUAUAGCUUGCUAUAAUUGUCAGCUAAGUGGCGCACGGGUGAGUAAUGAAUAGGUAAUAUGCUUCUUACUAAGGGAUAACAAAUGGAAACGUUUGCUAAUACCUUAUACUCCUUAUUAACAUAAGUUAAUAAGGGAAAGAUUUAUUGGUAAGAGAUUAGCCUGUAUUGUAUCAGUUAGUUGGUGGGGUAAUGGCUUACCAAGACUAUGACACAUAACUGGUUCGAGAGGAUGAUCAGUCACACUGGAACUGAGACACGGUCCAGACUCCUACGGGAGGCAGCAGUGGGGAAUAUUGCACAAUGGACGAAAGUCUGAUGCAGCAACGCCGCGUGGAGGAUGACACAUUUCGGUGCGUAAACUCCUUUUAUAUGAGAAGAUAAUGACGGUAUUAUAUGAAUAAGCACCGGCUAACUCCGUGCCAGCAGCCGCGGUAA